GGCUCCAUUCUCUGCGCUAUUUUGAUGUUGGGGUGUCAGAGCCCAGCCCAGGGGUGCCACAGUUCAUGGAAGUGGGGUAUGUGGAUGGGAACCCCUUUGUGCACUACGACAGCGAGACAGAGAGGAUGGAGCCGCAGGUGGACUGGAUGGCAAUAUGGAUACCCAGUACUGGGACACACAGACCCAGAUUGCAAAGCACAAUCAGCAGAUUGACCGUGUGAGCCUGGACACAGUGCAGAGACGCUACAACCAGAGUGGAGGGGCUCAGACGCGGCAGCGCAUGUACGGCUGUGACCUCCUGGAGGACGGUAGCACCAGGGGCUUUUAUCAGAAUGCCUACGACGGGAGGGACUUCAUCUCCUUUGACAAGGACACGAUGGCGUUCACCGCGGUGGAUGCAGCAGCGCAAGUUACCAAGAGGAAGUGGGAGGAGGACGGGACUGUUGCUGUGCGUCUAAAGAACUACCUGGAGCACACCUGCAUUGA